CUAUCCCUCGCUGCUAAGCUAUCCCUCGCUGCUAAGCUAUCCCUCGCUGCUAAGCUAUCCCUCGCUGCUAAGCUAUCCCUCGCUGCUAAGCUAUCCCUCGCUGCUAAGCUAUCCCUCGCUGCUAAGCUAUCCCUCGCUGCUAAGCUAUCCCUCGCUGCUAAGCUAUCCCUCGCUGCUAAGCUAUCCCUCGCUGCUAAGCUAUCCCUCGCUGCUAAGCUAUCCCUCGCUGCUAAGCUAUCUAUCGCUGCCAACCUAUCUAUCGCUGCUAAUCUAUCGCUGCUGUCAAUCUAUCUAUCGCUGCUAAUCUAUCUAUCGCUGCUAAUCUAUCGCUGUUAAUCUAUCGCUGCUAAUCUAUCGCUGCUAAUCUAUCGCUGCCAACCUAUCUACCGCGGCGAAUCUAUCUAUUGCUGCCAACCAACCUACCUACCACUGCCAACCUAUCUAUCGCUGCCAAUCUAUCGCUGCCAAUCUAUCGCUGCUAAUCUAUCGCUGCCAACCUAUCUACCGCGGCGAAUCUAUCUAUUGCUGCCAACCAACCUAUCUACCACUGCCAACCUAUCUAUCGCUGCCAAUCUAUCGCUGCCAACCUAUCUACUGCAGUGAAUCUAUCUAUCACUAUCAUUACUAGUUCAAAAUAGAACUAGAGCAUAAAUACACUAAACUUCUUUUGAUAGAUAAUGAUUUUUGGUAACACUCAUAGCAUUAUAUCAUCUAUAUAGGGUAAAUCAUGGUCCCAUUUGGUCUCAUUUUAACAAAAUGGGACCAAAUGGGACCAGAAUCAGUAAUUUAUAAGAAGAACAUGACCUGGGACUAGAUUUAUAAUAUAAACAGUGUAAAGUGACUAAUUUAAUAAACACUAUAUGAGAUC
rnacentral:sRNA from 1 species